rnacentral:rRNA from 1 species
UUGCCUACUGGGUUCCCCCGCAGCGACUCUAAACAACUGCUUCUAGUUGGUCCUUCAGGGGCUGGCAACGCGAUCAAUCUGGGCUGGAAACGCUCCUCCGGGCGUGACCAGCAGCUCUCUGCGAGAGUUCACAGAUCAAACGAUCGCGGCCGCUUCGGCGGUUCAGAUAUGAUCGGUCCCGGCCUUCUCUC